AGAGUUUGAUCAUGGCUCAGGAUGAACGCUGGCGGCGUGCCUAAUGCAUGCAAGUCGAACGCAGGGUGCUUGCACCGCUGCGUGGCGCACGGCUGAGGAACACGUGGGUGACCUGCCCCGCUGAGGGGGAUAACCCGGCGAAAGCCGGGCUAAACCCGCAUACGCUUCGCAAGAAGGAAAGGCGCAAGCCGCGGCGGGAGGGGCCUGCGGCCCAUCAGGUAGUUGGGAGGGUAACGGCCUACCAAGCCGAUGACGGGUCCCUGGUCUGAGAGGACGACCAGGCAGACUGGGACUGAGACACGGCCCAGACUCCUACGGGAGGCAGCAGCAAGGGAUUUUCCCCAAUGGGCGCAAGCCUGAGGGAGCAACGCCGCGUGGAGGAUGACGGCUUUCGGGUUGUAAACUCCUUUUGGGUGGGACGAUAAUGACGGUACCACCCGAAUAAGCCCCGGCUAACUCUGUGCCAGCCGCCGCGGUAAUUC
rnacentral:rRNA from 1 species